rnacentral:rRNA from 1 species
UACGGAGGGUGCAAACGUUGCUCGGAAUUAUUGGGCGUAAAGCGCACGUAGGCGGCCGAAUAAGUCGGGGGUGAAAGCCCUGGGCUCAACCCAGGAAGUGCACUCGAAACUGCUCGGCUUGAAUAUGGAAGAGGGUCGCGGAAUUCCCGGUGUAGAGGUGAAAUUCGUAGAUAUCGGGAGGAACACCAGUGGCGAAGGCGGCGACCUGGGCCAAUAUUGACGCUGAGGUGCGAAAGCGUGGGGAGCAAACAGG